rnacentral:rRNA from 1 species
AGUGGACGCUGGCGGUAGGCCUAACACAUGCAAGUCGAACGGCAGCACAGUAAGAGCUUGCUCUUACGGGUGGCGAGUGGCGGACGGGUGAGGAAUACAUCGGAAUCUACUUUUUCGUGGGGGAUAACGUAGGGAAACUUACGCUAAUACCGCAUACGACCUACGGGUGAAAGCAGGGGAUCUUCGGACCUUGCGCGAUUGAAUGAGCCGAUGUCGGAUUAGCUAGUUGGCGGGGUAAAGGCCCACCAAGGCGACGAUCCGUAGCUGGUCUGAGAGGAUGAUCAGCCACACUGGAACUGAGACACGGUCCAGACUCCUACGGGAGGCAGCAGUGGGGAAUACUGGACAAUGGGCGCAAGCCUGAUCCAGCCAUACCGCGUGGGUGAAGAAGGCCUUCGGGUUGUAAAGCCCUUUUGUUGGGAAAGAAAAGCAGCAGGUUAAUACCCCGCUGUUCUGACGGUACCCAAAGAAUAAGCACCGGCUAACUUCGUG